UACGUAGGGGCAAGCGUUGUCCGGAUUUAUUGGGCGUAAAGAGCGUGUAGGCGGUUCGGUAAGGUCCGUUGUGAAAACUCGAGGCUCAACCUCGAGACGCCGAGUGGAAACCAUCUGACUAGAGUCCGGAAGAGGAGAAGUGGAAUUCCUGGUGUAGCGGUGAAAUGCGCAGAUAUCAGGAAGAACACCCGUGGCUAAGGCGGCUCUCUAGUACGGUACUGACGCUGAGACGCGAAAGCGUGGGGAGCGAACAGG
rnacentral:rRNA from 1 species